rnacentral:rRNA from 1 species
UACGUAGGAGGCAAGCGUUGUCCGGAAUUACUGGGCGUAAAGCGCGUGUAGGCGGGUCUUUAAGUCAGGGGUGAAAUGCCAGGGCUCAACCUUGGAACUGCCUUUGAUACUGGAGACCUUGAGUCCGGGAGAGGUGAGUGGAAUUGCGAGUGUAGAGGUGAAAUUCGUAGAUAUUCGCAAGAACACCAGUGGCGAAGGCGGCUCACUGGCCCGGAACUGACGCUGAGACGCGAAAGCGUGGGGAGCAAACAGG